GCAGGUGGUUUGUUAAGUCAGAUGUGAAAGCCCGGGGCUCAACCUCGGAAUUGCAUUUUGAAACUGGCAAACUAGAGUACUGUAGAGGGGGUAGAAUUUCAGGUGUAGCGGUGAAAUGCGUAGAGAUCUGAAGGAAUACCGGUGGCGAAGGCGGCCCCCUGGACAGAUACUGACACUCAGAUGCGAAAGCGUGGGGAGCAAACAGGAUUAGAUACCCUGGUAG
rnacentral:rRNA from 1 species